GGGGGGAGUGGAGGUAGGAAUGGAGAUGGAAGAAAAAAAGAAAAAGAGAAAAAAAAAAUUGAAUGCCUACCCUCUGUCAAAGCAUACUAGACAAAAAUGUUCACAUAUUCUUAUGUUUGUUUCCUUCUCAGAGGCUACACAAUAAAUACUCAGGCCAUUGAACCAGGAGCCAGAAGCUGUGUGUGCCUCCUAUAUUGACCCUUGUAGGUACCAGGAAUCUGAGUGACUUUACAGAAGCUGUUGCAUCUUUGAGAUCUCCAGUUUUUUUCAGCUGUAAAAUGAAGACCACAAAAUAUACAUAAAAGGUUACUGUAAGGAUCUGGGUUAGAAAUAAUUCUCAGAAGGGGCACUGAAUAAAAGAGAAAUGGUAUCAGAGGUAGGCACCCUUUCACUUGAAACUGGUUAAUGCUGCUUCCCCUACAGAAUGUCCAGGACUACCUUGAAAAGGAAAAAUGCAGCGCAGUAUCAAAACUAUCCUUCAAUCUACCUGGCACAUCGAAUAUGUUCAAAUAUUUGUGGAGGUGGAGUAUAAGCAGAAGCUAAAAUAUAAGACACUUCCAAACCACGUGGCUUAAAGAGGUUUUAGUAGCACCUGCCUCCCCCUCCUAACAAGAACUGCCACGUUAUACAACACGGAGCACACCCAUCUCGUCAGAUGGCUCCCUCUACUCCCUGGCAUCAUGCAGGAUGUAGCCUCAGCAGCCCAUAUUCUUAACCCUGCCACAAAGGAAUAAAGAUGGCUUCAGAUGUCAGGAAGCUCCAAAAUGCUACUUGGUGGAGAGGACAAUUUAGGAGAGCGUCAGUAGCCUCCUCACUCCUCCCUGUCCUCCUCCUCACCAUUUCCUCUGUUAAAUUCCUUUUUUAUGUUAUGUUCUUUUUUGUAAAAAGGAGCAUUCUAAUGGCAGGAGUAUAAAGCAGAAAAAUUAGGGAAGUUCUCUAGAGCAGUAUUUCAUAAUCUAUUAUAAUAACUAUUAAGACCUACUUUGAUCAAAAUAUUUCAGAGAGGCUUUCCUCCAUAAUAAUAACUGAAGACUCCUACCCCGUCUCUACCCUAAUGAAUGCUACAAGUAAAACAGAACAAAAACAAAAACAAAUCUUAAUAUCAGAAGGCUACUAUGAAUUCAGCAACACCUUUAAAUGUAUUUUAAUUGCAUUACAUCAGCAUCCACAUGCUUUUGGAAGAUAAUCAUGCAUACACAAGUGACAUCUAUCAUCUAACUGGAAUGCCUGAUCACUAAUGGGUUCACAGGCUCUAUCAAAUAAUUCCCAUGGCUGAAGAGGCCCAUGGUUCACAAAUGGAGAACAAAAACAUUUCACGAGGCCAAGUUUAAACAACGGUUUUCUAAACAUAAUAUUUUUAGGCCUGUCUCAAAAAGAAAAGAUGUAGUUUAGACCCAAAGCCUUCACUCAACCGACUAAAUCUGAUUUCUGAUUAUAUCCCUUAUGCAAAUCACUCCAUAUGAAAUACUGCCACACCCAGACUCACAUGAUAUUCAUGGGCUACUUUCAGUCAUUACACCAUAAAAACCUUCAGUUUUAAAAUGUAAAACUGUACCUUCAGUUUUGUAAUGUAAGACUGAAUUGCUGAUGGUAACGUAAAGAUCAUUAAGUUCAACCCCUCCAUUUACAGGUGAGGAAAUUGAGGUCUAGAGAGAAGUGACCAAUCUAAGGCACGACUAGAGGCCAAACCAGGUUUGAACACAACCCUAAACACUUCUUUUAUUUCAUAACAUUUGGAAAAGUCUGUUAUAUGCUAACAACUUCUGAUCAUUACAAUAAAGAAAUCGGGUAGCUGGUUUAAAUACCUCUAUUUAGUCAACCAUGCCAGACAUUUAUUAUUUGGAAUAUUAUAGCCAGCAGAAGUUAUAUUUUUUAAAGCUAUUUAUAUUUGAAUUAAUCACGGCUGCUCUUCAGAAUUAAGAUUUGUUCUUUAUUGCUGGUUUCUCAAGCACUAAAAGGGGGCUCUAAUUGGUUGAUUCCUCCUUCUCUUUUCCAAUAUACAGCAACUGGCAUCAACCCAACUGGAUUCCAAAGAGAUUAUGGAACUGCUUUCCCUUCAGAGUUCUACUAAUGUUCUUAAUUGACUGGUUACCAGGUAAUACCCAGAAUAAAACAAAGCCUUGCUUUUAGAACUGAGUGCACUGGUGUAGGACUGAAUUCAGAAUCAGUCAAUUAGAUAAAAUAAUGAAGCCCAGAGGCAGCCUGACCAUCUCAACGUCUGAUUUGAAAAGUAGUAACUAGUUUAAACCUUCUUAAAAAGUAUUCCUUUUACAAAUUGUAUGGCUAAUUGUACAGGGCUAAGCAAGAACAAUUUCAGAGAGUUUUCUCUCUCCCCCUUUUUAGUUUUGGUAGUAAGGAUAAUGGUAAUGUGAGGGGGAAAAACAAGAAAUUCACAAUCCAGGCACAUACAGUUGAUAAAUGCAUCGACUUCAUACAAUAUUCAGGUAGAAAGUCCAUGCAGGAGUUUUGGGAAGUAAUAAUUCUGUGGCACAAUUGUGAACUGUUCCCUCGUUCCUGUUGCUAAACUAAAUGCAGAGAAUCUUGGAUAUUUUUAUGACAACCAUGAAUCAGGCGGCAUUUCUUCCCCUCCCCCAAAGUCAGCAAAUAACAUCGUCAUGGAUUACAUAACAGGAUCAAGGAAAGCCUUAAGACCUUCAUAGACAACAAAGGGCUUUUUUAUUAAGCAGAUAUUUGGGCUGUUUUUGUAGCUGUCAGGAAAUGAGACAGCAAAAGUCACCUCUAUAGAAUUUUAUUAUAGAAGGAAAACAUAGAAAAACCAAGUGACACUAUUAAAGGUGCACAAUACACUCUAUUAAUUUA